rnacentral:lncRNA from 1 species
UUGUCGCACAACCAGUGUUUAGAGAGUUGUCUACCGCAUAGAGUUAGGUGUGCUUUAGGUGCUGCUUGUUUGUUAAUAAGAGAGACUUCCCUAUAACUCAAGGUGUUGGAAUUUUGCAACAAUGAGUGAUUGGUCGAUGAAUAAAGGGGAUAUGCUACUAUAUAUUAGAAACAUGGCAAGUUAAAGGUGUUGAAGUUUAAGAAUGUCGUGGUCCCUUGCUUAUCAUGAAUGUAGUUACCUAUUAAGAAGUUUAUGUCCCAUUUAUUUAUGUAUUGUAGCUUCUUGUGUUGACAACAUUGAUUGGCAUUGCCCAACCAAAAUGAUUUUGCUUGAUUCAGGUUCUUUCUUGGUUAUGCCAACUAGGUGAUUGGAGGCUCUUGUAUUAAAAUUGUGGCGGACCUUUUUAACACCUAGCUCUUUAAGUCCUAGGGCAUUUCUCUGUAACAUCACAGAUUAUUUAUGCUGUGUCUGAAAUAUCCGAAGUCGUGGCAGAUUGACAAAUUGUUGAUUCAUAGUCUGAGGGAAUGUUCUCUUAAUGUCUCGAGCUUUUGUUUGGAAGCAGAGGGAGUCUUGUGGUGCUGUGAGUAUAGGAGCUAAGGUGGUUAUUAUUAAAUUACUUCAAUUUGGUAGCAAGAGGAUAUGGCUUUAG